AUUGAACGCUGGCGGCAGGCCUAACACAUGCAAGUCGAACGCGUGGCGGACGGGUGAGUAAUGUCUGGGAAACUGCCUGAUGGAUGGGGCUAACUACUGGAAACGGUAGCUAAUCCCGCAUACCAUCAGAUGUGCCCAGAUGGGAUUAGCUAGUAGGUGGGGUAACGGCUCACCUAGGCGACGAUCCCUAGCUGGUCUGAGAGGAUGACCAGCCAAACUGGAACGAAGACACGGUCCAGACUCAUACGGGAGGCAGCAGUGGGGAAUAUUGCACAAUGGGCGCAAGCCUGAUGCAGCCAUGCCGCGUGUAUGAAGAAGGCCUUCGGGUUGUAAAGUACGUUCAGCGGGGAGGCGUUACCCGCAGAAGAAGCACCGGCUAACUCCGUGCCAGCAGCCGCGGUAAUAC
rnacentral:rRNA from 1 species